AGGCGGGUAGUCUUGGUUUAGACUCUGCAAGAGGAGCACGUCAGCCAGUGCGUUAGAAGUACAACGCAUGACCAAGCGCAACGCUGACCUGGCUGGAGAGUCCUUUCUGUGGAGUGAAAGUGAAUAUUUGAGAGAAAUUGCUUUGCUUCAAUGUGUGUGACAGAGGAUUUAUUUUUUAUUGUCAAACACAUACCAGAUGACCAUCCUUGUGCCAACCCUGAUUCAGAGCAAGGUUAAGUUGCAGGUAAAGUGUCUGUGUGUGCUUAUGUUCCUGAGCUUCCCGCUGUCCAUGGCGGAGGUCCCUGGACCAUGCAGACACUCCAUUACUAGGGACCACCUGCUGAAACUCAAACAUCUGAUGGAUAACCAAUUGAGAAGCGGGUGUUCGAUAACCUACACAUUCAUAGAACAGAAAUCUUUGAGCAAGUGUUGCUUCGUGAAAGCCGCCUUACCUUGGAUAUUGGAGCUCCUCACCACUCACUUCAAAUAUAACAGGGGUUCUGUCAACUAUACCUAUGUCCAGUCUUUGAGAACACUCAUCCUCAACAUCUACUCCCAGAAAUGUGUUCCUCAGAUCAAUGAGGAGGUGGAGGACAAGCCAGAGAGUUUCGAAGUGCUUUACAGAGGGUCUCCUGCAGAAGCGCUGCAGAAAGCUUUGAGGGUGCUGUCUGUUUAUCUCGAGCUGGUAACGACAAGUGAUGCACCAGUGGACUGGAAUUGCCAGUAUGAAUACUCAAAGUUCUUUGGCUCAAGCACGGAGCAACCGCAAGCGUCCCCCACACAAGGUUGCGCAGACAGUUAUGUAACGGGGUCAGUGAAGGCCUCUCAGAGAAGACCACUGAGAGACCUGUACAAGCUUGGCUUCAUCAUCGCCUCCAUCUUCGGAGCAUUACUGCUCCUCUUUACUCUCUUCUGUCUAAUCACACAAAAGAGGACCCUCUUCCGUCACAGAUUGGGAUCUUAUAUGAGUUCUAGAGAGCAGCAAGGGACAGCGAUGGAACUACAAUAAUAUUGGAUGACAUGUUCCUUACGAUUGGCUGACAACCAGUUGAAGGUGUACCCGGCCUCCUGCCCGAAGAUAGCUGGGAUGGGCUCCAGCACCCCCGCGACUCUCUGUUCUGUCACUGCAGUAGAGGAGGAAGCAAUCAUGAAGAUCUGCAUUUGAUCCACAAACAACAAGAUUUCAAUGAGAUAAAUGGCCAUGCCGACUAAUUUAACUGGAAGCUUUGCUUCAACUAGAAGCAAAGACGGACUUUGUUGAAUAAAUAUGCUGUGUAUAUUAUGUUUAUGCACCCUAUUACAAAUAUAUUUCAAGUCCACGAAGAGUAUUUCUCAACUACACGUGUAUGUUGACUAACGUAUCUUUGUUUAUCGCCUAAUCAACUGUUGGUAUUAUGUUGUCAAAAAGUUAUUUAUUAGUUACAAUUUCUUUAUAAUAAAAAUCCUAAAUGAUAUAUGUGAACUGUUCAUAAUGGUCUCCAGCAUUAUAGCCGUUAAAUCAUUCAUACAUCAACAAGAAAAUGAAAACAUUUAUUGAGCAAGUAAUAACUUUGUUAUAUGCUUUAAUCAUUUUAUCGCCUAAUUGUUGUUUGACUCCCCAGUUCCAUGAGGUGUCCAAACUACUUUUAUGACUCAUCCCACAGCACCAUAAUUGUCACUGCUUGUUAGCAUCUCACAUUGCUACUCAAUGUUUAAGCCGACAAAUAAAUUCCAGUUUUCUUAGAGAAACAGUGUGAUGUGC